AUCAGGCUCGGGAGUGCAACUGUAAGGCCGGGGUCACUGUGUUACUAUGGUGACACAGCCACGGCAGCAUAUGUGUGUAUCCAGGAAUAAGGGUUUUAUGUGAAUUUUGAAUGUGUGUGUGGCUGCUCACUUUCUGGGCCUUGUGUCUCUCUACCAGCAGCAGCAGCAGUCUCCCAGCCACUGUUGAGAGAGAAUGUUGGGUAACAGAAGUCUGGAGUUCCCCUGGACUCACUCCAGACCUUCUUUCCCUCCUGCCUCUCUUCCCACAGUCCUCCCCUCCUUCUCCCCUCACUUCCACUUGCUUCCCCUUGUUCCUGCUGGCUCGUUCACUCAUGAGUGAUAUCGUGCGUGUGUGUGUCCAUGUGGACAUUUUUCCCAACAGCCUGUACUGUAGAACUCCUGGUUUAUUUUUUCUUCUCACAGUCGGUCAUCUCCUUUUCUAAUUUUGUUUUUUUUAGCACUUUACACACCAACCUUUAGCAGAACUCAAAUUUUGGACCAUUUUUUUUUUUUCAUUUAACCCUGAUAGACUCUGUUUCCCUAUAAAACCAUUAUGUAGAACUGAUCCCAGAUCAGCGUCUGCUGUCUCAGCAGCUCACCACAUCUGCUCUGACUCAUUUUUCUCUGGUUCCCCAUUCCGAAAAUGAGAAAUGAAGGCAGCUUUUAAAAACAAUUUGUGCCUAUUUGUGGCUCUAUCCUAGCCCAGUCAGACUAUCAUCAUCAGCGCAUAAUCGUCACCACCGUCAUCAUCAUCAUCAUCACCAUCAUCACCAUCAUCAUCAAAGCAACAAAUCGAUGAUGAAACACUACUGCUCAAUCUAGAGAGAGGAUUGUUCAGGUUUAGGUGGGCAGACACUUGCAAAAACUUACAGGAUUCAGAGAUUGAAAGGGAGUCAUCCAUGCCUUAUCUGAAAUUAUUAAAAAGACCAAGUCUAUUUAUAAUAUGAUCCAGAUUUAUUACUCUUAGCUGUUUGGGUUUUUUUCCCCUUAGUAGAAGCUUAAAUCCUUCAGCACAGAAAGAUACGAGAAACUGAUAAAGAAAAAAAACAGUAGGUGUGCAAACGUGAUACAUGUCAGCAAGGCAAGACAAACACUGACUUGGC
ensembl:lncRNA